UACGUAGGGGGCUAGCGUUGUCCGGAUUUAUUGGGCGUAAAGAGCGUGUAGGCGGUUUGUCGCGUCUGCCGUGAAAAUCCGAGGCUCAACCUCGGACUUGCGGUGGGUACGGGCAGACUAGAGUGUGGUAGGGGAGACUGGAAUUCCUGGUGUAGCGGUGAAAUGCGCAGAUAUCAGGAGGAACACCGAUGGCGAAGGCAGGUCUCUGGGCCACUACUGACGCUGAGAAGCGAAAGCAUGGGGAGCGAACAGG
rnacentral:rRNA from 1 species